GGAUGAAUAUUGCACAAUGGGCGAAAGCCUGAUGCAGCAACGCCGCGUGAGGGACGACGGCCUUCGGGUUGUAAACCUCUUUUAGCAAGGAAGAAGCGAAAGUGACGGUACUUGCAGAAAAAGCGCCGGCUAACUACGUGCCAGCAGCCGCGGUAAUACGUAGGGCGCAAGCGUUAUCCGGAAUUAUUGGGCGUAAAGAGCUCGUAGGCGGUUUGUCACGUCUGCUGUGAAAACCCGAGGCUCAACCUCG
rnacentral:rRNA from 1 species